rnacentral:lncRNA from 1 species
GUUCCGGGUCUAGCUCAGAAUAUCACAGUUACUAAUAACAAUACUACUAAUUCACUGAAUGUGAACUGGACAAUACCAGCAGGGAAAGUGGAUAAUUACACAGUCAUUCUGAAUGGAGACGUCAAUACAACAAUCACAACUAAUUCUACACAAGUGGAUUUCACAGACUUACUGCCAGGCAGAAAUUACUCCAUCACUAUACAGACAGUUAGUAGUAACUGCAACCAGUUAGCAGCUCCAGUGAUAGCGGCAACACGUGAGUAUGAUGGGAUCAUUGGGGCAGAACUUUAUGGUUUAUGCUAAAUCCUACAAACUGAAUACUAAUUGAGUCUCUUGGACAAUCUGAAUUCAGAUAUAGGCCUUGAUUUAAUAGUUUUGGAUAAGCUUCUCAAAUUAAAAAAAAUAUAUUUCAUGUAUUAAAACAUGUUUUAAUAUUUUAAAAUAUUUAAUUUUGUUUGUUUAAUACUUUGGAAAAUCAUUGAUUCAUUAGAAAAGUGUAUCCAAAAAUAUUGAGAAGUGCAUUAUUUUGAGGACAAUUCAAUAAUGAUAUCUAUAACUAAAUAUGUGUUUUUUUUCUUUUAUAGAUCCGACCCCUCCAGGCUCCUUAAACUUUACAAAUAUCGGAACAAACACCAUUUCAUUGUCCUGGGGAGAACCAGUAAAUAUGGCCAAUGUGACAAAGACUUUCAAGAUAACUUACAGCAAUUCUUCAUCCUCUUGGACUGUGUCAGUAAACACAUUAAAUGUCACCCUUCAGAACCUCACAUCUGGGACUAAUUACACAAUUACUGUAGUAACACUUGGAGCUCAGCAGUAUCAGAGUUCUCCUGUGACCAGUUCCAUCUACACAAGUAGGUUUACAGCUUUCUGUAUGGUCUGCAAUAGAACCUUUUAUUAUGUUAAACUCUGUGUUCUGAGCUG